rnacentral:lncRNA from 1 species
ACCAUCCGAAACUGACCCGUUACGUCCAGGUCCAUGUUCAACCGAUUCAUGGACCUUCAACCAAUUCAAUGACGCGUUGAGAGUGCGUGACAAUCGGUUUAGGGUUCCGACUAGAGAUAUUCCAAAGAGAAGAAGAGAGAAAUAGAGAGAAACGAAGUGAGAAGAUAGAGAGGGAAGGGGGUUCUGUCCAGCCACCUAUUCGUUUGUAUAUUGAAGUGUGAAAAAGAAGCUAUUUCAUUCAAGCAGCAGGCCCUUCUCAUCAAAUCCAUUCCAUUCCGGUCGAUUUCUCACUCUUCAGCAAAAGUAUGAAUGCUCCGGUGAUGGUUGAGUUGGAGGGUGAGACUGAUCCACUUGAGGUAAUGAUCGCUAUGAAGGAGCUUAGACAGCGGAAAAUACCUUUCACUAUUCGCCGAUAUCUACAUGGAAGCUAUGAAGACUGGGGAGUUGAUGAACUAAUCGUCCAGGAUUCUUGGAAGAGACAGGUUGGUGGCGAAUAGUUUGUCCACCGCACCCCUCAACUGCUUGAAAUACUCUCGAGCGUGUUUACGGUCCUCACCAUAUGGGUUUGGUGGAUAGUCUUGUGAUUCAAUGUUCAACUUCUUUGUGUUGUGCGUUUUAUGUAUAUGAAGAUUUAUUUUGUUAAGUUGUCUUGUGAUAUAGACGAUCACCAUUAGUAGGCAGGACGUAAUUCAAACAUAUAGGACAUGUUGACCAAACCAUUUCUCAAGGCUUUUAGGCACACCAACUGGACAGGUGUUGAACUGGCAGACUAAACCGGGAUGUGACCAGACCAGACAUACGUCAUUCAGUCUAGUCACUGGUUUUACAAUAUGUAAAUCGUCCGUUUCCUUUUUGAAUCGGUCCAAACCCACCUAAAAACUAUUUAACCUCCCUAAUUACUUUCGAGUUUUUAUUAUUUUUUUUCAACGGUUUUGGUUCCCUUCCCAAUAGUACUAACUCAUAGAGCAUCAGAUCUAUUGAGUAAUGCUGGUGACUUUUUGGUCUGAUACCGUUUUUAUAUUACGAAUACCAUUUUUGUUGUGAAGGUUAAAAGCAAGCUUAAAGGACACUCUAAACAUAUAACCGGUCUCGCCUUUUCUCAUGUGCUAAACGUGCUUGUCUCAUCUGGCGCUGAUGCUCAGAUUUGCGUAUGGAGUUCGGAUGGAUGGGAAAAACAAAAGACACUCCCUCCAGGGAGAACACCGUCACCACAAUCCGACACGCGUGUGCAGUUCCAUCAUGAGUAGAUCCAUUUUCUUCUUGUUCACCAGACUCAACUCGCCAUCUAUGAAACGACAAAACUAGAAUGCGUAAAACAGUGGAUUCAACAUGAAAAUUCAGCCCUGAUAUCGCAUGCGACCUUUUCAUGCGAUAGUCAACUGAUAUACGCAAGUUUCUUCGAUGCAACCGUUUGCGUGUUCACCGCUUCUCACCUUCACCUUCGAUGCAGGAUUAACUCCUCUGUGUAUCUUACAAGUAACCUUAACGUGCACUUCAUGGUGAUUGCGGCUCAUCCACAAGAACAAAUCAAUUUGCAUUAGGGCGUUCUGAUGGAACCUUUCAUGUUUUAGAGCCGCUUGAAUCUGAUGGCAGAUGGGGCAUGCCACCACCGGCUGACAACGAGUCCACAAGCACAGUACCAGCUACACCGCCAACGGCUGGUUCAGGGUCGGAACAACUGGCACAGAGGUGACCCAGUUGUUUUCGGUUGACUAAACACUUGUCUACUGUGCAGUUCCAGCUUAGUAGUUAUGUUCCUGCUUCUAGUGCUACUAUUAUUAUUGUGGAUUAUUUUGUUAAGAGUUAAAUGCCAUUUUAGUCCCUGUGGUUUGGGUCAUUUUGUCAGUUUAGUCCAAAG